rnacentral:lncRNA from 1 species
UUUUUCUUUUCUUUUUUUCGUCUUUUGAGGGCCACACCCACAGCUAGGGGUUGAAUCGGAGCUGCAGCUGCCAGCCUACACCACAGCCACAGCCACAGCAAUACCAGAUCUGAGCCACAUCUGUGCCCUACACCACAGAUGACGGCAACGCUGGAUCCUUAACCCACCAAGCCAAGCCAGAGAUAGCAUCUGUGUCCUCACGGACGCUAGCCAGGUUCAUUUCCAUUGAGUCACAACGGGAACUCCCAAGAUUGUAUACUUCUUUAGGAUUGAGUCAUUAUAAUAGGACUUAUGUCUUCUUCCCGAUUGGUUAUUUGCAAGCUAUCCAAUAAAGAGCAGCUGGAAUGACCUUGGGCUGGACCAGUGUUGCUCUGUGAAUGCUAAUGGCCUACAUGCUCUCUACAAACCUAAGGAAGGGCAAUAAGAAAAAAUCUUGGACCCUUGGAAAGAUUGUCUAGGUAAUGACAGAGCUUCAGGAUUUGACUAAUUAUAUAACCCUUGGUCUUAUUAACAGUAUCAUGCUAUAAUUUCUCUCAAUACUUCACUUGAAGAAAUCUUCAAGAAAAUAGUUCCAUGCUUUGACUUUGCCAGUCAAUCAAAGAUUUAACCUGAAUCUCUACAAUCUUAUUGUGAUGGGAAUUUUAUCUCCCAAAAACUUCAGAGUGGGAAUAGAUUUGGAGUAAAUGCUAAAAAGUGUGUUCUAUGAAUUCUGUCUAUAGGCCUAGGCUUACAAAUAACCACCAUAUGAUACUAGAACAACAAAAUAAAAAGCUAUUCAAAAUAUACUCAUUGCUUUGGAUCCCAAGUGUUGCUUUGACCAACUGUCAAUUGCCUGUGCUUCUACGUGAUGGUAUUUUUAUUUCAAAAAUCUUGGCUGACAAGAUUUACUAGAUUUUUAAAUUUUUUUACAACCAUAACAUGUCUUUGGAAGUAAUAUAGUGAUUAAUACUUAAUGAAACAAUAUCUGGUUAGGAUUGAAAAUUAUAAGCCAUUGAAUAAAAUAGUACUGUUUGCCUUAUAAACAAGAACAGUAUUUCAUGGGAAGGACAUAGGCUGUUCUGUGAACAGCAAAAUGACUUUUAGGCCACACAUAUAUGAUAAAUGUUCACACCUGGCACUAGUGGGAAUGGCAGUGGUCAUGUCUAAUAAAUAAUGUGUGAAAACCAAUAGGACAGUUACAGAAACACUCCUGCUUGUUCAUGGCAUAAGGCCAAAGUUCAGUUGUGUAGGUAUUACGUUUUUGACAAAACACCCAGUCUUACACCAGACACAAAUUUCUAGUUUCCUGAACACAGCACUUGAUUAAUGUAAGGCAUGUGCUAAGUAAACUGUAAGAUUCAUAUAAGAAACUAUAGUCAUUUUCCUUUGCGUCAUGAUGUCACACAAGACUAAUGUCAAAUGGAAGAAGAAAUAGGCCAAAAUUUUCUUGAAUCAUCUCAGUUAAUGGAUUUAAACAAGACAUGGUUAUGUUCUUUGAAGCAAUGCAUGAUUAAAAUCAAACUACUUGGUGAAAAAAUUAGAGACGAGAUUAUUGAAGUGUUGGGGAAAAGUUUGUAGUAUAAUAAAUUAACUUUUAAUUAAUGGAAGAUAAAUGACAUAAUAGGAGGUUAAUUUUUCAGUGUACAAAAUCGAUGACAAAAUAUCUGUCUAAUGUAGGUUUCAUCAUGUCCUGUACUUUCUUUACCUCCCAAAUAUUAUUUUUACAACUCUGUGGGAAUAAUUCCAAAAGAUACUCAGGUAAAUAUGUACAUACCAAGGGGGAAAAAAAAAUCAAUAUUUUAAGCUGGCAUCAAAAAGAAAGAAUUUGGUAUAGUUUUAUUUAUUGGUUUUAUAUGAAAAUUAGAUAAAAUAAAAAUGAUACAUACUGCAUACUCACAGCUUUAUAUUUUAUGUUUGUUUUUCAAAUAUAAAAAGGUGGAUGUGUAUGGCGAAUACACACUUAAUUACUUUUUGCCUUUUCUAUAUUUUGAUCAGUUAGCAAAGUGUCAAGAAAAGUGUUGGUACUGACUUUUUAUUAUUUUCUCUCUAAAGUGUUGUCAUCGAAGAAAUAUAUAAUUUGAGGUUGUGAAGAAGCCUUUUUUAGAAGGCUUUCUUCUUUCCUUUGUAUACCCUGUAGUAGAAGUACAUUUUAAAAAUCCAGCAAGAGAAAGAAGUAGAGAGGAGAAAACGAUCAGGACAUAAAGCCCUUUAGAAAUAAUCAUGUUCUUUAUUAAUAAUCGUAUGAUGAUCUGCCAUCCUAUAAGCUCCUGAUCGUACCGAUGCUUAUUACCCAGCAAGAUGGAAAUGGUACAUUUGGUCCUUGUCCUAACACAACACAAUGCCUACGGUUUUGCCAUGGAAACAUUCAUAACUUUACGUGCUUGGAAGUCAAACAGUUUCCAUUAACUCCAUAAAGGGCAGACAGAUAAUUUUCAAGAAUAUUUGAGGUGUUUCCAUCAUGGCUGAGUGGAAACAAAUCUGACUAGCAUCCAUGAGGAUGCAGGUUCGAUUCCUGGCCUUGCUCAGUGGGUUAAGGAUCCAGUAUUGCCAUGAGCUGUGGUGUAGUUUGCAGACACAGAGUGGAUCUGGCAUGGCUGUGGCUGUGGCAUAGGCCAGUGGCUAUAGCUCCAAUUCAACUCCUAGCCUAGGAACCUCCAUAUACCAUGGGUGCAGCCCUAAAAAGACUCACAAAAAAAAAAAAUUGAAACACUAAAGGCUACCAAGCUAAGUGCCCCAGGAAACAAUUUAAACUAUGAUAAAGGCACUUGACCCAUAGUUCUAAAGUUGCUGACUAAAUACAUUCAUGAUAAGCAAUAGGCAAGACCAGUGAGACGAAUAUGGGAAAGCUUGAAUGUGAGGCCCCAAGUUUGAAUGUUGACUCUUUCAGUGAGUUUAUGAGGCUAGGAGAAAAACUGUUGUCUACUAAAACAGCAACAACAGCAACAAAAAACCCCACAUUCUCCCCAAACAUACAGCCAAUCUAGUAGAAGCUAUAUAUUUGGUAAUCCAAUCCAAGUAUUUGACAUUUCCUUUAAUAGGGGCUUAAACAGGUAACCUAUAUGGUUUAUGUUCCAUCUUCCAGAUAUGAGCAUGAAAAUAUUUUAAAUUCGUGGUUGUAUUUCUAUAUUUAAAUGUCAUUUGUGAGGUUGAAAAUGGAGUACUAGUCUAAUACUGGUACUAUUUCCCUCAUUCUCUUAUUUGUUUAAUAAAUAGACUGCUUUAUUCUGAAAAGUGUUUAAAAUUGCUUAUUUUCUGGAGUCAUUCUUAAUACCUAUUCUCUAAAAGUUCUAUGCUGUAAAAUAUCUUAACGUGAGGUCAGCAGUGUGUCUACAGGUUCUAAUUUUAGACGUAGAUGUUAUUUUUCUCAUUGUUUUAGAUUAUUCUUGUACAUAACCGAUUUUUUUAAGGUAAAGCUUUUCAAGUUGCCAUCUAUUCUACAAGGUUUUUCUGUUAGUUCUUCAAAAUGUAAAUGCAGAAAAGCCCUAAAAUAUAGGAAAAGAGCACCAUUAAGAGCAAUUCAUUGAAACACCAGCUUGCAAAGUGGUGCCUUGAUAUGUUCAGUAUUUCUCAUCUCAAAUGUAACAUUGUUUUUAAAAUCUCUACUAACACUUUGCAUGCUUAUGAAGAGAAAUGAACAUAUAAUUUUCAAAAGGCUUUUCUGGGGCAAGAUUGUAGAGAUUAACCAAAUGAGGUUGGAAAAGAUUGAACUAAAUUUAGGGCCAAAUUAAGCUAUCCUAGACACACACACACACACACACAAUCCCCAAAAAACCCUGAAGUCCUAAACUUAUGAAUAACUAGUGCUGACUUUCUUCUCUUUGCUGAGAGUGGACUGUCAGGUUUUCUCACGGAGUUGUCUUCACCCACUGCUAAGGUCAGUGGCCCUACCUGUAUUUCAUGGCAGUGACUUUACAGUGAAUUUAGUCCAGCGUCUUAGCUCUCUGCCUCCAAAGUCUUCUGUGUCUUAUCUGGCCUGCACACAGAACAGUUUAUUUAUCCUUAAUUAUUAUGUACUUAUGUCACUUUUGACUACCUGCAGGAUAAAGCAUGAUCCUUCAGAACUUACCCUGACCAACUUGGAAAAUGUUGACUCCUAUAUUUGCAAUCUCAUAGAUAUAACUUAAAUUUUUUUUAAUUUUUAUUUUUUUUACAACUUUGAAAGUUACUUUAUAUUUAUAGUUAUUAUAAAAUAUUGAUUAUAUUCCUCAUGUUGUACAAUAUAUCCUUGAGCCUAUCUUAUACCCAACAGUUUGUGCCUCCCCAUUCUGCCCCCUUCCCCUGCACACUGGUAACCACUAGUUUGUCCUUUAUAUCUGUAACUCUGUUUCUUUUUUGUUAUAUUCACUAAUUUGUUAUAUUUGUUUUUGUUUGUUUUGUUUUGUUUUUGGCUCCACCCAUAGCAUGCCGAAGUUCUUGGGCCAGGAAUUGAACACCAGCUUCAGCAGUUGACAACAUUGAGUCCUUAACCAUAAGGCCACCAGAGAACUCCUGUUGUAUUUUUUAGAUUCCACAUGUGAUAUCAUUUAGUAUUUAUCUUUCUCUGACAUUUCACUAAGCAUAAUGUCCGCCAUGCCAAUUAGACAAGUUGCAAUAAUCUUCUCAAUCUUUUUGUUAUUUAUAUUAAUUCUGCACAUUUGAUAUCAAUUGAUCACAAUAGCUCAUCAUAUUAUCUCCUAAUCAAGAACUUCUGGAGCUCUAGUAUUCUUACAUGUAUAUUUCAUUUAUUCAGUAGGGGAACUAUAGCUCUCAUAGAAAAUAGCCAAGUGACCUGAAGGUAUUCUUUCCCUCUUCUUUAUGAAUGUAAAUGAGGCAUAGGUGUGUGGUCAUAUCUAUAUCUAUAUGUAUACACACAUAUAUGUAUGUAUAUAUAUUCACCAUCAUUUAUUUGAAUUUUUAAACUUUAUCAAAAUUUAUUGAUUUUAGUUUCUGCAGUGUGUGAUGCAGUGUGCUAAGUAAGUAAGAAUAUGUCAUAUCCUCAAGGAACACUUAGGUAGUGACAGUCAUAAAUAUGCAAGUGAAUAAUUUAAAACAGAAUGGUAACCAUUUACAUAAUAAUUUUGUAUAAAAUGCCUGAGUUGAGCAUAUGAAAAGUGAUUGACUAGGACAAAGAUUUUUUUCUUGAUAAACUGGGGUGGGGGAGUCAUAAAACUACUACUAAUGUUUAACAAUGAUCAAUUAAGCAUUUUAUAUGUGACUAAGUCAAAGAGAUUAUCUUUAGUAACCCUAUUCCAUCUCCAAAACAAACCUUUGAGGCAGGCAUAUCAUUAUCUCAUUUUAUAGAUGGGACAACAGAUGCUCAAGAUGACUAAGCAACUUUCCCUA